GUGGGGAAUAUUGGGCAAUGGGCGAAAGCCUGACCCAGCGACGCCGUGUGGGUGAUGAAGGCCUUCGGGUUGUAAAGCCCUGUUGGGUGGAAAGAAGGGCUUUUGGACGAAUAAUCCAGAAGUCUUGACGGUACCACCAGAGGAAGCACCGGCUAACUCCGUGCCAGCAGCCGCGGUAAUACGGAGGGUGCAAGCGUUGUUCGGAAUUACUGGGCGUAAAGGGCGCGUAGGUGGUUGUGUAAGUCAGGUGUGAAAUCCCGAGGCUCAACCUCGGAACUGCAUCUGAUACUGCAUGACUCGAGUGCAGCAGAGGGAAACGGAAUUCCUGGUGUAGAGGUGAAAUUCGUAGAUAUCAGGAGGAACACCGGUGGCGAAGGCGGUUUCCUGGGCUGACACUGACACUGAGGCGCGAAAGCGUGGGUAGCAAACAGGAUUAGAAACCCGAGUAGUCC
rnacentral:rRNA from 1 species